ACUCGCUCAGCGAACAAACAUUUUCUAAGACUGAUUUCGCAAAAAUACGGCCAAGAAACUCCCCUGCUUUCGGAGCAUCAUUAACUGCGUCUUCCAGCAAAGAGAGCACAGUUUUGAAUCCUUCGAUGAGCUGAAGAUGACCUAGCAAGCGAUCAUGAGAUUUGCAGAGGUUGACCAAAAGCUUAGCUAACAGAUCUCUCUCCA
rnacentral:misc_RNA from 1 species